UACGUAGGGUGCGAGCGUUAAUCGGAAUUACUGGGCGUAAAGUGUGCGCAGGCGGCCGCGCAAGUCGAGUGUGAAAGCCCCGAGCUUAACUUGGGAAUUGCGCUCGAAACUACGUGGCUGGAGUGUGGCAGAGGAAGGUGGAAUUCCACGUGUAGCGGUGAAAUGCGUAGAUAUCGUAAGGAACACCAGUGGCGAAGGCGGCUCUCUGGACCGGUACUGACGCUGAUACGCGAAAGCCAGGGGAGCAAACGGG
rnacentral:rRNA from 1 species